ACUCUAAUAGUUUAUAAAAAACCUUAGUCUUGUAAACCAAAGGAUGAAGGCUAUACCCCUUCUUAGACUU
rfam:Pelecanus crispus contig111973, whole genome shotgun sequence.